GGAGGCGCGGGGCGGGGGUUCCCCCCCCCCUCGCUGCUGCGCGCACGCACGGUGCCACUUUCCUUAUCUAAUUCUCUUUAUCCAGUUCCUUGAGCUUUGUGAGGGGAUAAAAGGUGAUGAACGUAUAGGCCCUAGGGAGGCUGAGGCAGGAGGAUCUGGAUGAGUUCCAGGCCAACCUGAACUACAAAGUGAGACCUUGUCUCAGAGGCCCCACCCAAAAAAGCUAGGCCUGUUUUCUCCUUUGUUCUUUCCUUGCCCUGAUCUGUAAAUGCAAAAUAGCGAGCAUUUAUGUAAACUAUGCAAAGUAGCAAGUAUUUACUGAGGCCCUGCCCUUUAUAUAAAGAUAUGCUCAUCUAGGUGAGUGUGCUUCAGAAGUUCAAAAUCUGAUUGGAAGGCUGAUCAGUGACCCAAGAAGCCUAACUCAGGCCACACACUGCUAUAGAGAGUCCUAAACCAGAGGGAUAGCCAGGGUGGUUUGGGAUUAAACCCUCAUCUCUUCUAGAGGGGGUAAAAGAAUGAGAACAGCCCCUGUGCUGUAAGAAGAGAGCUGCUGCUGCCCUCUGACCUGAGAUGGCAUCUGUCACCACUUCCUUUACAGCCCCGCAGGUGACGGGACCAGCAAGAUGACAGCCCCUGGAUGUUGGCCAUCUGAUUGCUGACCAUCGUGCCGCUGUCGGGGCCCCACUGAGCUAAAAUGUGAGCUGUUUCUGCCAUGGUGCUGGUGGAUUUACACAGAUCUCUCACCGCUCCUUGCAGGUGGAUUUACACAGAUCUCUCACUGCUCCUUGCAGGUCCCUAAUUCCUUCUGGGUUGCUGAAUCCAGUAAUCCUGAGGGGCUAAACCUGGCAAUCUCCUGUCAGGAGUCGUCUUCCUGGAUCUCGGCACUGCUCAGCAACUCCCACUGUGCCACCGUGUAGGCUCAGCCUGCUCACCUGGUCCAGGCCUCCCCCAGAGCUGCCUCAGCUCCGGGCUCCCUGCAUCUCUGAUUCCUCCUUUCCCCUUGCAAAAGCCAAAGACUCACUCAGGAGGCGUCCUUGGCUCCCCUCCUCUCACAGCCCUCAUCCAAACCAUCAGCAAAUCCUGCAGGUUCCACAUUCAGAAUAAACCUACUCUCUGAUCACGUCUCACGGUGAUGCUCAAAAAUCUGCCCCACCCACACGCACCUGGUG
ensembl:lncRNA